AACGAACGCUGGCGGCAUGCCUAACACAUGCAAGUCGAACGAGAACUCCGGGCUUAGAGGCGCACGGGUGCGUAACGGGGGGGAACCCGCGCUUAGGUUCGGAAUAACUCCCCGAAAGGGGUGCGAAUAACGGAGAAUGUCUUCGGACCAAAGACUUAUCGGCUGUGGAUGCGCCCGCGUUGGUUUAGUUUGUUGGUAGGGUAAACGCCUACCAAGGCGACGAUCCAUAGUGGGUUUGAGAGGGUGAACAGCCAGACUGGGACUGGGCCACGGCCCAGACUCGUGGGAGAGGCGGCGAAGGGGGAUAUAGGGGAAUGGGCGAGAGGCUGAUCCGGCGAGGCCGCGUGGAUGGUGAAGGCCUUAGGGUUGUAAAGCUCUUUUGCCCGGGAUGAUAGUGACAGUACCGGGAGAAUAAGCACCGGCUAACUCCGUG
rnacentral:rRNA from 1 species